AACGAACGCUGGUGGCGUGUUUUAUACAUGCAAGUCGAGCGAGGACGGUAGCAAUACCGAGCCGAGCGGCGAACGGGUGAGUAACGCGUAAGCAAUCUGCCCCACAAUCGGGAACAACCGUGCCAACGCGCGGCUAAUGCCGGAUAUUGUAGUCUACUGCAUAGUAGGCCAACGAAAGAUUUAUUGUUGUGGGAUGAGCUUGCGUCCGAUUAGCUAGUUGGCGGGGUAAUAGCCCACCAAGGCGACGAUCGGUAGCCGGCCUGAGAGGGUGAUCGGCCACAUUGGGACUGAGAUACGGCCCAGACUCCUACGGGAGGCAGCAGUAGGGAAUAUUGCGCAAUGGGGGGAACCCUGACGCAGCAACGCCACGUGUGGGAAGAAGCAUUUCGGUGUGUAAACCACUGUCGGAAAGGAAUAACGGAAGACUUCGGUCUUUAUGAAUGUACUUUUAGAGGUAAGCACCGGCAAACUUCGUG
rnacentral:rRNA from 1 species